AGUUUAUUUUACUGUUUUUAUGAUAACUGUAUGACUUUAAUGUGGAACAUUCAGAGUUUUUUCUCUUGUUGUGUUUGUUUGAAGCUGCUUCCUGUUGGCUUCAGCUGUUUGGAGUUUCCAUUUUCUAAACUUCUAGAUUCUGAACCUUCUUCAGCUCUAAACAGAUUAUGAAACACUGAAUGAUUUCAAGCUCACACUUUGUCUAAUAAACUCACGUUUCAUUCUUUAUACAGAUUGGAGGGCUUUUAUGUGUUAGAUAUUUGCUGGGAUUAUCUGGCAGCAGCGCUGAAGUCCAACCCCUCCCAUCUGAGAAAGCUGGACCUGAGAUGGAACAACCUACAUGAUCCAGGAGUGAAGCAUCUGUGUGGUUUCCUGGAGAGUCCAGGAUGUGGACUUGAAACUCUGAGAUUGUAUCGCUGUGGUUUGUCAAAGAUCAGCUGUGAUUAUCUGGCAGCAGCGCUGAAGUCCAACCCCUUCCAUCUGAGAGAGCUGGACCUGAGUAAGAACAAACUGCAGGGUUCAGGAGUGAAGCUGUCUGAGCUUAAGGACAGUCCAGACUACAGACUGGAGAGUCUGGUGUUAAAAUGCAACAGAGGCUACAGCGUGUGUUUAUAGACGCUCUGACUGGGCCAUGUUACUGGGAGGUGGAGUGGAGAGGAGAGCUUCAUCCAGCAGUGACUGACAGAGGAAUGAGAAGAAGUGCAGAUGACUGUCAGUGCUGCAGAGUGAACUGCUCUGAGAACAGCUCCACUGUCAGACACAAUGUAGAGUCCAGCAUCAUCCCUGUGUGUCCCUCUGGAUCUGACAGAGGAUCAUCAGUGUAUCUGGACUGCUCUGCUGCUGCUCUGUCCUUCUACAGUCUCUGCACAGUCUCUGUCUGACACUGGCUUCAGACCCUCCUGGAUCAAACUCACCUGGAAAGUCUUUCAAACACCUUUGAUU